rnacentral:rRNA from 1 species
UACGGGGGGGGUAAGCGUUGUUCGGAAUUACUGGGCGUAAAGGGCUCGUAGGCGGCCAACUAAGUCAGACGUGAAAUCCCCCGGCUUAACCUGGGAACUGCGUCUGAUACUGGACGGCUUGAGUAUGGGAGAGGAACGUAGAAUUCCAGGUGUAGCGGUGAAAUGCGUAGAUAUCUGGAGGAAUACCGGUGGCGAAGGCGGCGUUCUGGACCAUUACUGACACUGAAUCGCGAAAGCUAGGGGAGCAAACGGG